rnacentral:rRNA from 1 species
UCUAGCAGCUAUAUAACCCUGCAAAUCACAACUAGCAGCCCACUAAGGCUCAGCAAGUAUGAGCCUGGCUGGUACCCAGAUGGGAGACCUCCUGGGAAAGCUAAGGUUGCUGCUGGAA